UACGAAGGGGGCUAGCGUUGCUCGGAUUGACUGGGCGUAAAGGGCGCGUAGGCGGUUCGUACAGUCAGACGUGAAAUUCCUGGGCUCAACCUGGGGGCUGCGUUUGAUACGUGCGGACUUGAGUGCGGAAGAGGGUCGUGGAAUUCCCAGUGUAGAGGUGAAAUUCGUAGAUAUUGGGAAGAACACCAGUGGCGAAGGCGGCGACCUGGUCCGAUACUGACGCUGAGGCGCGAAAGCGUGGGGAGCAAACAGG
rnacentral:rRNA from 1 species